ensembl:lncRNA
CAUUUGUCUGUGCAGCUUUGAGCUACACAUGUCAUUUAUUUUUUAAACUAGUUUCAAGGUUUGAGUAGCCCAGCUGUGCUGUUAGGAGACUAUUCAACACCCGCCAUCCCUUUCUUUCUUAAUUUAAACUACACAAUUGUAGCAGUAACUGGCCUUGUGGGACUGGAUUUCCAGCUGGUGGUGAACUGUCAUCAGUUGUAGGCUACUCCAGCAGUCUCCGCCUCCUCACUGAUGAUUAUUUAGCCACGGCUAGGUGACACCACUCCAAUCAGGUGGAUGAAAGAGGAAGGCUGCCGGCUGCUGCUGGGAAAGCUUUCACACUGCUAAGAAGGGAUAUCUCUUUCCCUACGGAGAAUACCAGUGUCAGCAAACGACUCCAGCAGCUGUGGCAGGUUAUAGUAUUUAGGAAAAGUAGAGGAUGAAGUUCUCAUCAGUUCAUACAUGAAAUGAGAAUGUGAAAAAGCAUAACACUCUGAAUAUGAAAGUGCUCUACAGUUUAGCAGAACACCACAUUCUCAGGAUGCUGUUCUUGAGAAGCCCUGGCGCCACACAUGGAAAUUGGUUGGCUGUCCCUGCAGGACUGGAACCUCAGUGUCUCUCUUUCCUAGCACUUAACCUCCUCCACGCAGCACUAAGCACAAUGCCCUGAAAUCACCGCUGUCUAUGCUCCAAGGUGCGCGCCAGACUCUGCUGUGGCUCUUGCUCACGACAAAACUCCCCUGGCUCCUCUGGAGAGGCCUAAUUCGUAAUUCCCUCCAAGACCGUCAGACCCUUCUCAGUGUGUUCCUCCUUCAGGCAGAAGACACUCCCUUCCAGGAUGCUCUUUAGGGAACCUUAGAAGAAACCACUGCCCACAAAUUGUCCCCCAUGGAAGCCGAGACGGUCAUCGUUGGGGUGCAGCAUGGAGCUGCGCGGCUCACUCUUUAGAAAGACCCAGCGCAAACCUCACUCAGACACAGACUCCAGGGAGCCCCUGCUCCCCCCACCAAUACGAGAAAUCAUUCGCUGUCUUCAGGACUCAUCCUGCGCCUGCUCUCCCCGUGUGCCUGCCUGGAGAACUCAAAGUCAAAACUAGCUCAGUGGUUCUGCUGCUUGCUGCGCAAGCGCAAGGACCCGAGUUCGAUCCCAGGUAACAAAAAAACCAAACCAAAACAAAACAAAACAAAAAAACACACAAAAAACAAACUAAUGCUGACCGCGCACAUUGCUAGGCUCCGCGUGUUUCCUCUUCCAGGAAGCUCAGCACCACCCCAAAAUCCCCAUCAGUCCUCUCUGCGCUGGAUGGGAAAUAGAGAGCACCAGAUUCCUGGAGACAUACUGACCUUAAUCUGAGAAGUAACAUGCUUCCCCCUUGUUUAUUUUUCAGACUCUGGUGCUAGAAACACAUUUUAAGGGUCUAGUUAAAUUGUUGAGGUUGCUAAUCCCUAGUCAAGUAGCUCCGGAUUGAGUAUAGAUUUUGGUGGGCCAGCCAACUUCAGCAGCGCAUACAGCAACCAGCUCCCCGGGUUCCUCCUAGAUUUAGGGAAUUCUGGCUGGGCAUCUGUCGGGGGGAUUCCGUGUACGCAAGCAUAGUGCAAAUGUAAUUAUCUCUGAGUGCAUAGGCCAUUUUAUAGUCUUCUAGGAACAGCUAGGAAAAUCAUAUUUUGUCAUGUUUAUGAUGCUAAGACUUCUACUUUCUGAAAUAGCACACACAUGUACUGGUACACAGUUGAUGUAGAAAAGUAUAGCUUUUUACUACAGUCUCUAGAGCUACUAUAUACCAGAACAGACAAGCUACUUCAGCACUCUGCCUCACUUUUCUUAUUUAAAGAAAAACAAUAACAUUUUAUAAAAUAAAAUAAUCUAUGACUUCCCUUGAACCCAUGCAAUUACUUUCUUUUAUGGAUAUUAGCUACAUUUUAAUUACUAAAAUUUUAUGAACACUACAUCUAGGAUUUUAUGCUCAUGCACAGUUUUCAUAUAUGUUGAAUAAAUUGAAAUAAAUUUUUACAAGAACAUGCCUUAUUCAAAUUCCAAAAAGUGCUAAAUAGAGUAG